UACAGAGGUCUCAAGCGUUGUUCGGAUUCAUUGGGCGUAAAGGGCGCGUAGGCGGCGGGGUAAGUCGGGUGUGAAAUCUCAGAGCUCAACUCUGAAACUGCACUCGAUACUGCUCUGCUUGAGGACUGGAGAGGAGACUGGAAUUCACGGUGUAGCAGUGAAAUGCGUAGAUAUCGUGAGGAAGACCAGGGGCGAAGGCGGGUCUCUGGACAGUUACUGACGCUGAGGCGCGAAGGCCAGGGGAGCAAACGGG
rnacentral:rRNA from 1 species